AGAGUUUGAUCAUGGCUCAGAACGAACGCUGGCGGCAUGCCUAACACAUGCAAGUCGAACGCGGGGCUUCGGCCCCGAGUGGCGCACGGGUGAGUAGCGCGUGGGAACCUGCCCUUCAGUGGGGGAUAACCGAGGGAAACUUCGGCUAAUACCGCAUGCGCCCGGAGCAAUCCGGGGAAAGAUUUAUCGCUGAAGGAGGGGCCCGCGUCGGAUUAGCUAGUUGGUAGGGUAACGGCCUACCAAGGCUUUGAUCCGUAGCUGGUCUGAGAGGAUGAUCAGCCACACUGGGACUGAGACACGGCCCAGACUCCUACGGGAGGCAGCAGUGGGGAAUAUUGGACAAUGGGCGAAAGCCUGAUCCAGCAAUGCCGCGUGAGUGAGGAAGGCCUUAGGGUUGUAAAGCUCUUUCGGCGGGGACGAUGAUGACGGUACCCGCAGAAGAAGCCCCGGCUAACUUCGUGCCAGCAGCCGCGGUAAUACGAAGGGGGCGAGCGUUGUUCGGAUUUACUGGGCGUAAAGGGCGCGCAGGCGGUCAUUUUUGUCGAGUGUGAAAGCCCCGGGCUUAACCUGGGAACUGCGCUCGAAACGGGAUGACUAGAGAUCGGGAGAGGAGAGUGGAAUUCCCAGUGUAGAGGUGAAAUUCGUAGAUAUUGGGAAGAACACCGGUGGCGAAGGCGGCUCUCUGGACCGAUACUGACGCUGAGGCGCGAAAGCGUGGGGAGCAAACAGGAUUAGAUACCCCAGUAGUCC
rnacentral:rRNA from 1 species